CUUGUGCCACGCAGUCUUUAGACAGCUGCUCAUACACUCCUUUCUGAGGCUGGAAAAGGGUCUAUUGUACAAACAAGGCCAUCAGUGUUGGUUUCCCUGGAGCCUCAGCGGUGGGCAUGGACGAGUGGAAGAUGAAGAGCUUCCCGCUGCACUCUGCUGCCUGGAAGGACGACAACAGAUCACACGCAAAUCUGACUGGUGAAAUGAAUGUUACAACACCACUGAGAGGGGAACCCUCUGGCCCAAAACCUUCAUACUCGACUGAGCUCCGGAAGAACCAGCUCAACGCCAUCUUGAAAAAAGCUCAGCGGUGAAAGGAGACAAACAAUUAGUUGCUUGGCAACACUGAAGGCAAGUUCCAACUAUUGCUUCUUGAUUUUCUUUUUUUUUUUUUCAGAACUUCCUUUAAUAAUUUUAUUUGUGCACAUUUCU